UUGCACAUUUACAAACAUGUGAAGAUCAUUUUUCAUUAGUUCUUUUUACUUCAGUACUUAAGAUUAUCGUUAUCCAUUAUACACUAUAAAAGAACAUUGAAACCACAUUUUUACAUACAUUGUAUAAAACGUUGUAUAACCAAUAUUCUUUUCUUUUUUAUUACUUUCUUCAAAUUCACAAUUUACAAACAAAAUGCAUUUAAAACAUUGGGAAACACCAUAGUAUGCCAUGCAUUUGUAAGCUUCUGAUAGUUUAGUUCACAACAUUUGAUUUAAAUGGAUGCACACUUAUGGAAGUAUCUUAGGGCAGCACUGUAAAUACACUGCUUCCUCGUGUGACAUCAAAUAAAUUUAAAGAAAUCAGGCAAGAUAAGAAGAUAAGAACAAAAACUGUGGAACUCAUCUCAGCUCAAGAUGCCAUGUUCAAUCGUUCAAACAAUUAUGUACAUAUAAAUGACAUGGGAAUGUCAAGCAAUCAAACUGUUUGGAAAGUUUUGUGUCUCACAGAAUAACAUGUUGGGUGAGAAAUAUGCAUAUCAAUUCCAAAACGAAUGCAAAAUACCUUGUGAAGAUGCUGGUCUAAGCUUGUAAGAGAUAUGAGAGCACCAUCCCAACUGGGAGAUUGGCUGCACCAUGUGAUGGGGCUGUUUUGUUGCAGGAGAGACUGGUGCUCUUUGCAAAAAAGAUGGCAUCAUGAGGACAUAGCUAUGGGAAAAUAUUGAAUCAACAUCUAAAGACUCCAGCUAGCACAUUAAAGCUUGGGCACAAAUAGAUAAUGAACCUAAGCAUACCACUCAAUUGGUCAAAGUCAAAGUUUUAGAGUGGCCAUCACUAAGCCUGAUCUCAGUCCCACAGGGCAUCUGUGAAGGAGAUUUCUAACACAUCAGCUUUGUGAUCAAAAUAUUACCUAGCAGCCUGAUAUUAUACUACAUAAGAGGAUAGAAUAAUGAAGAGAUAAUAGGUGGUAUUCACUUCACCUGUCAGUGGUCACAAUUAGCACCAUUGGUACAGAUAUAUACAGACAAAUUAUUGCUGUGGAGCCUCUGUGAAUUCCUACCAACAACACUUUACCCAAGGCAUGCAGUUGGAAUUACUUUUUUUACAAGAUACUAAGGAAAUGUCGGGAUCUGGGUUGUGUGUGUGUGUUUGUAUUGUGCUUGCAACAUUGCCUCAUUGUUUCAGAUGGUGCUGGAGUUCUCAGGUUUGCUGGGGGACAGGUGCGACUUAUUCUGCUGAUUGCUUGGAGGAGUACUUUAGCAGGAGGCUGCCAGCACUUUGAUGCAAGAGUGUUUUGCCUACUGUGGUAACAAGCUCAGUCAAUGCUAAAUCUAUGCUUUGUGUUUUGUUCUGGAAUAACUUUGUUUAUGUCCCUUCGCAGACUUUGAAUUUGAACUUUGGAUUUAUAUCACUGAACAACUGACUUCGUGUCCAGGAGUUGUCUGGAUGACCAAGAUUAUCUACGUUCUGAGGACUUCGUUUCCUAACUAUUGUUCCCAUCUGGAUUACCGACCAAGCUGGCAGUUUCCUGCUUCCUCCAUCUCUAGGACCUAAGCCUAAGCGUACCCUGUCCACCCUCCAACGCAAGUAUCAGCACAAACGAACUAACUCAAUCAUCUCCAUGCUCACCCAAGAAGCACCUAAGAAGCCAACAGAACAAACUCUGCUACAACAACUUGGAUCCCGAAUCCCUCUACCCCUGGCAACCUGACCGCACCCACUUAUUGGAGUUUCGCCUGUUUUCGUUCCUGAUUAUUUUGUGGCACAACAAAUACCAUUUCACUCUUUCUAUUUUCUCCGGAGUGUUCUCUGCAUGUGGGUCAGAGCUAUUACGAAAAUGUCAGGAAAUAUAUGCAGACUUCUAAAAUUGUGAAAAUCUCAAAAUAUUUAUAUUUCAAUAUUCUUGCAUUUAGCAAAUAGAAAUAUUAAGUUGUACUAAUUGAGCUAAAACAGGAAAGGUUAAACAUAAUUUAAUUUCAGAUGGUGAGAACAAAGUUGUGGAAAUGCUCAAAAUGGCUUAACAAAAUGUAAAGAAGACUGAACUUCCAAAUUUGGAAAGCAAUAUAGAUUAAUACAUACCAAACUACUACUGAUUAAUAGUAUCAAUAGUUUGUUAUUCCUCAUUUGAAAAGAAAGUAAUGUUUUGCUCUCAAAUUGUUAUAUCUGAGAUUUAUCCUGUUAAACCAUGUAUUCUUUGGAUAUUUUACAAAGUCAAGGUAAUAAAACUGAUUUAUAAGAAUAAUUAGGACCCAGGUAUAAAAUUUCAUUAGAUUUAAUUGAGAAACUGCUUGGAACAGAGCUCUUGCAGCAGUUGUAGCAUCAACUCUAAACUGCUUUAAAAAUAGCUCUUUCCUUGUCAUUAGUGUAUCAAGGAAAGACUUGAGAACUCAUUUAAAGAUAUCCAUGCACAUAAGUGACAUAAGGUCACUUUUAGCUCUUUAACGUUUUGUAGAUAUUCUACUUGAUAAACAGUAAAGGCAUGUGUAUACUUCUAGGAUUUAGGUGGAAGAGCUGCUUUACCUCAAAGUAAACUGCAGUUCUCAAAAAGGUACAGUGCUUUUAACUUUCCUUCAUGGGAUUCAAUGUGCUCAUGAGUUAAAGCCUAUCAGAAAGUUUAGGAAACUGCACAUUACUGUAGCAAAAAAUGAACUAUAGCAGUAAAUGAAGAGGAGGUUGGCAGACAAAUCUCCAACUUUUAAAAUUUUAUCUGUCACUGGGUAUUUAUUCAUUGGAGAUAGGUUGUACAUCUAAGGUGUAAUAUAUACAAAAAGGGAAAAACAUGCAUUGCUGUAAAUGUAAUUGUGUCAAAGUGGUUUCAAUGUAAAAUACCUUAAAUGGCAAAAAUACAACAAGAGGAAAGCAGUCUAUUAACAUAAAGCCUACUUUUUUGUUCUUCAUAACCUAGAGUAGGUACAUAUUUAAGAUGGA